rnacentral:rRNA from 1 species
AUACGGAGGGUGCAAGCGUUAAUCGGAAUUACUGGGCGUAAAGAGUACGUAGGUGGUUUAUUGAGUCAGAUGUGAAAGCCCCGGGCUUAACCUGGGAACUGCAUUUGAUACUGGCAAACUAGAGUAUGGUAGAGGCGGGUAGAAUUCCUAGUGUAGCGGUGAAAUGCGUAGAUAUUAGGAGGAAUACCAGUGGCGAAGGCGGCCCGCUGGACCAAUACUGACACUGAGGUACGAAAGCGUGGGUAGCGAACAGGAUUAGAAACCCGAGUAGUCC